UACAGAGGUCUCAAGCGUUGUUCGGAUUCAUUGGGCGUAAAGGGUGCGUAGGCGGCGCGGUAGGUCGGGUGUGAAAUCUUGGAGCUUAACUCCGAAACUGCAUUCGAUACUGCCGUGCUUGAGGACUGGAGAGGAGACUGGAAUUUACGGUGUAGCGGUGAAAUGCGUAGAUAUCGUAAGGAAGACCAGUGGCGAAGGCGGGUCUCUGGACAGUUCUUGACGCUGAGGCACGAAGGUCAGGGGAGCAAACGGG
rnacentral:rRNA from 1 species